ensembl:lncRNA
AUUUGUGAAUAAUGAAGUGGCUUGGUAGCAGAACAUACUUAUCUGUGCUGCAUAACCUACAGUUUCAGUUUGCCCGAGCUUAGGUUUUACGAGCUUUUUGAAGGUUUUCAAGCAAUGCACAGGGAGUUAGGAGAGCAUGGAAAGCUUGCUCUCUGUCAGCUCCUGUUCCAAACAGCUGUGCCUGCAAUAGGCUGAGGUGCUCCUUCCUUAUCUGGAGUAGGGAGAAAUUGUUUAAUACUAAUGAAUGAAACAGAUAGGAAGACAAGCGAACAGCUAAAUGGUAUUUGAGACUAUGGCACAAGUGUUGGCUGUGUGUCGGGAGAAGUGGGUAUUAUUAAAAGAGACUGGAAUUAAAAAGGGGAGUGUGCUUACUCGCACAAUGUGAAGGAAGGACCGCUGUAUGUUAACGGGGAAGAUGCGAGCAAAAGAUUAUGGUACUAGGCGGCUGGGAGCGAAUGCUACGAGAGAAACCGAUUUGCACUGGUUUAUUGAGCAAGAAGUGGGGAAGCGAGGGGAACCGACUGGCGGUACCGAACCAGGCUGGAGCAGGCGGCAGCUCGCGGCUGACGGCCGCGGGGCCAGCGGCGGACGGGCGGGGCCGCGGCCGGCGGAGCGCGGAUUGGGUGCGAGGCCUGCUCGCCCGAGGCCCGCCCGGGGCUAACGCUGGGACGGACGUCAGGGGCCGCGGUUCCCAUGGUGACGGCCCCCCCACCGGACAGGCGGGGCCCACCAUGGUUCCCAUAGAGACACGGCCUGCAGCCACGAACAGGAAGACGGGCGGGUUGGCGUUGAGGCUGAUAUAAAUUCCGUUAAGCCCAUACGUGGAGCAACAGGAGUACCUAUCAACCUGCUCUUUAUGGAUAUGCUUGAAUUCUAAUGACAGUCACAUAGGUCAUCAGUGUGAGGAGUAUAUAAACCUGAAGCAUCACAUGGAGAGAAAAACCCAAGAAGUAGAAGGAGAGCUUGCUUGUCAGAAACAGGCUGAAGCUGGUCUACAGAAGACAGGCUACAGGUUGCAUGAAAUGGAAACUCUUUUUUCUGCUAUGACUGGUGAGGGAGAACAGACAAUACAAGCAUCAUCGUUGAACUGUGGUAUUUUACCUGAAGGAGAGAAACAGAUACUUCAAUAUGAUGAUAAAAGUUAUCUUAGAAAAGGUAUUCCAAUCUUGGAAAUACAGAAGCUGAAGGAGCAGAAUGCCAGCCUUCGGGCUGCUGUUGCACAAAUGAGGAAAGAAAUGGAGAGUCUGGAUGAACAGAUGCAGUCCUCUCUUCCUCUGACGGAACAAACUAUCACUGGCCUAACUGCAGAAAUCUCGUCACUCACUCCUGGUUCAUUUUGCACAGACCAAGUUUCAGUUAGAACCACGUUGAACAACAUCAAUGUCAGCUCAAAUAACUUGGGUUGUAUAAUAAACCCAAACACAGAAAAGGGGUCAAAAACCAAAGCUCUUGAACAAAAGACGGUCGAUUUUGGCCCUAUCUCAGAUAAUUGUUGUCCUGGUGUUAGUCUUCAGUAUGGUUUCAGCUGCCCUCUACACGGAAUGCAAAAUAUACUGAACGAAGCAGCAAGGAAAAUAUCAGUUCUGAGCCAAGAGAAGCAGCAGCUGAUUGAAAUGGGAAACAGACCCAGAACAGAUAUUGGAAUGGUAUUAAAGGAAGGACUUUGGCAUCCCAUUAGCUCUAAGCGCUGCACAGUUUGUGUUGCCUCUGGUAGCCUUUCUCCAAGAGAGCUUCUCAAAAGAACACAGUGUCAGCUUUCAGCUUUAAAGCAUCUACAACACAGACUUGCAACACAGGAGCUGCAGUAUGCAAAGCAACAACAUCUCUCAAGGAUCUCUUCCGUAAUUGCCUGCCCUAACUUAAAGGGAGAAAAAGCUCCAAGCAGCUGUGGGGAAGAAACAGAAUUACCAUCUGCUCAGGUUAAGCUAGAUAUCUCUACUGGAAAUUGUGGGCCAGAGCAACAAAAGGCACAUGCAUCCUCAAAGAUGGUUCAAAGUCAGCCGCUCAAGGAAAGUCCUAGUCAAGCCCAGCAGACCUGGAUUUCUUCAUCUAGAGCACAUAGAUCUUGCCAAGGUAUUUGGCAAACCUUAGAAAUGAGAUCAAGCCCUUCUAUUCUCAAUUCUCAAAACAACACUAAACAAGGUAAGCAUGCUGUGCAAAGUAAUUUGACUCAUCUAGAAGAAAACAAGUAUAGUAGUGGACUCUGCCACAUUCCGCUAAUUAUUUUUACAUAA